UUUCGCGUGGCAUUGGGCUGGAGGAUGGUAGUUGAAAUCAACGUCUACGUUCUAGAAAUUCCAUGAUGCAUUUCAUUUCUAACUUCUUAAAGGAGGACCUAUGGUUAUGUCAGCGGUUUUAUUUUACGUGGCAUAGAUGAGGGUGACGGAUGUAAUGCACGUUCUCAUCGUUCUCUUCACAUUUCUAGUAUUUUGAGUGUACUUGCAGGUCUCCGGGAUGUACCUAGUUUGCUGUGCUGGUUGUGAGAUCCUUUUGUGGCCGAAGGGAAUGUCGCCUGUGUUACUGCUACAAUGUAAAUAAAAUAUAAGAUUUUUUAGUAAGAUUUUUGUGUUUGGUGAAUCAUUACUUCCUUGCAACGAAUCAGAAGUUAAAGCCGAUGUUGGUUAAAUUUCAGCACAGCAGCUUCUUAAAGCUGUUUUUUUUUUUCUCUUUGCUUAGUAAUUCUAUUUGACAGUAGAUUGAAAAAGAAAGAGAAAUUCAAUGUAAAAAUUCUUAAGUCUGUUUUCUCUUCCUUUAGUAAAAAAGUAUG